rnacentral:tRNA from 4 species
CCGCCACUGGCUCAUCGGGAAAGAGCAUCAGCCUUCUAAGUUGACUGUGCGAGGUUCGAGUCUCGGUGGCGGUCCA